GUCAUUGUGUGUUGUACUUUUUAAUAGUUCUGCUAGUCUUGUCCUACACCCUGAAAGUAAAUAGAUGGUUCAGCAAAAGCAGAAGUUGCAAGAGAAGAGGAAAUUUUACAAAUGUGCUUCCUUUAUAACAUGGAAAUGAUCGCGUUUCUUAAUGCUUUUAAGAUUCAAGGUUUACUAUUUUAUUGUCCACUGAUUGUUGCCAAAGUUCUCUCAUUGGAGUUUGCUGUCCGACUUCAGACAUUCCACCAGAAAAAAAAGGAGGAAGUCUGUGAUAUCCCUGCAGAAGAUGGGGGAAAGGAAUAAAACUACCAGAAAAAUGUGGCACUUCCUCUCUGAAUUUUCCCUCUGCUGCAUUCCACCCAUGGAUGGGAAGAGUCUCAGACCCAAAUGGUAUGAGGCCCAGACAGGUAUGCCGCUAUUUUGUGAUUCAAAAGCCAGAUACUUAUAUGUUUGAAAAUGAGAACUAGGUUAUUCUCUUAUCUUAUAGAUAUCAGUUAUAUAACUGUAAUGAUACUAUACAUAUGCUAUAAUGAUUCUGUACUUUUGUACUUUUAAUGACCUUUGUCUUGCCAGUACUAUAACUGUAAAGAUGCGUAAGAUCAUCUUGAAGAUUCUUGACAUCUUAGAAGAAAACUCUACAUGGGCAAGCAGACCAUGUGGUCACCAGUUAUGUUUAGAAUUAGUACAUGGAAAGUACAUUAACAUCUGUCAUGAAAUUUUGCUCUAAAAACGAAAAUUUGAUAUUUUAUUUUGACAAGUGUAUUUCUUCUAUCUCAGGAUAAUGUGACACUCAAUCCCCACUCUCACUGAGGCAUACCUCUGUUUGGCAAAAGAUCAGCUGUACAUACACAGGGUCAGAUGUGACUUCUGGGGAUGCAGUGGUUGACACAGCCAAAAAUGGAACAUGACCUCAGAAGGUUAGGCUUCCUGGGUCAGGAAAGAGGGUCAGACUUGAAGAUUUAGAACAAAACUUCAGAACUGGGACUCUUAUCUCUGCACCUGCGGUACAGCAUGCCUGGUAAAUUGGAUCCUAUAUUGGCAGCUUCAUGGAAUUGCAUCAGGAGCACUGAAGUUUCUGUGAUGGGAACAAAGUACACAAACAGGAACUGGACUGAAACCAACUACAUAUUUCACUGGAUUGGAUGGGAAGAAAACAAGGUGAAUGAGCCCAUACAUAUCAUCUCUUUAUAAUAAGAUCCUCUCCCCAAAUGGAAAAUGCUGAGCCACUGAGCCACUUGUUUUUUGUUAAUGCUAAGCCCUACAGGAUUCUGCAACCCUUGCUAAUAUCUCCUGAACACCUCCAGGGACAAUGACUCUACCACCUCCCUGGGCAGCCCACUCCAGUGCCUGACCACUCUCCUGAGUCCAGCCUGAAUCUCCCCUGGCACAACUUGACGCCAUUCCUCCAGUCUUAUUGUUAUUUAUAUGGGAGAAGAGAUUGACUCUCACCUUACCACAACCUCCUUUCAGGUAGUUGUAGAGAGCAAUAAGGUUUCCCCUGAUCUUCCUCUUCUCCAGACUAAACAAACCCAGUUCCCUCAGCCAUCCCCAUAAGACCUGUGCUCCAGAUCCCUUCACCAGCUUUGUUGCCCUUCUCUGAACACACUCCAGAGCCUCAAUGUCUUUCUUGUAGUGAGGGGUCCAAAACUGAACUCAAUACUCAAGGUGCAGCCUCACCAGAGCUGACUAGAAGGAUGAUCACCUCCCUGCUCGUACUGUGUACACUAUUUCUGAUACAAGCCAGGAUGCCAUUGGCCUUCUUGGCCAUCUUGGCACACUGUCGGCUCAUGUUCAGCCAGCUAUUGACUUGCACCCUCAGAUCAUUUUUGCCGUGCAGCUUUCCAACCACUCUGCCCCAGGUCUGUUGCAUUGAAUGGGGUUGUUAUGACCAAAGUUCAGGACACAGCACUUGGUCUUGUUGAACAUCAUAAAAUUGGCCUUAUCCUAUUUCUCCAGAAAUAGGGUAAAGAAGACUCACACACAAAAAAGAGAUUUUCUCUGGUUCUCCUUGAUGGUCCCCCUGUCUUUGCUGUCCUGGGAACUGUCCAUCUUGUGAGCUGUCUUUAUGUUAGUGCAUUUCAUAAACAAUUAAAAUCUGAACAUUAAAAACUGUACAAACACCAUUUUUAGUAUUUAUUUCUUUCCCAUCAAUGAUAAUGACCACUAAGCCUUGAAAGACUUGCAAGGCUUUCAUCAGACUUGCAGAAGUAUUGAUCCGUUCUCUAAAUCAAAGGCUCUCUUCAUCUUUUCCUAUACUUUUCAGAGCAUUCUUUUUCCUGAUGGUAACUUGUCAUACGUUUGAUUUUAAAGACCCAUAACCCAUGCAAGCAUUCGGGUAUGUUUUGCACACUCCAAAUACAUUCUGAAAAAAACUUGGCUGCAGCAUCUCCUUCUCAAUCUCUUGCCUUCAUACAUUUUUUAUUAGUGUUGUAAUCUAAAUAUAAAAUGAGUAUACCAUUCACCUAGGCUAAUCAGAUCUGACUACAUAUAAAUGAUAUUUGGGAUUCUGCCCUGCAUGAGGACAUUGACUGCCUCCCUGAGGACAUAAUUUUACUGUUGAGGUUUAUGAUUAGGAAGGCUAAUCAGCCUUGUGAUGCACUCUUCAGUAUUUCAUUAUUGCGAGAUUAAUUUUUUUUUUCUAACUGUUGAAAGAAACUGGAAAUACA
ensembl:lncRNA